rnacentral:rRNA from 1 species
UACGUAGGGUGCAAGCGUUGUCCGGAAUUAUUGGGCGUAAAGAGCUCGUAGGCGGUCUGUCGCGUCUGCUGUGAAAACUCAGGGCUUAACCCUGAGCUUGCAGUGGGUACGGGCAGACUAGAGUGCGGUAGGGGAGACUGGAAUUCCUGGUGUAGCGGUGAAAUGCGCAGAUAUCUGGAGGAAUACCGGUGGCGAAGGCGGCAUCCUGGACCGGCAUUGACGCUGAUGAGCGAAAGCUAGGGGAGCAAACGGG